UCCGAAGGCGUAAGAGACGGCGGACAGCCAGUCAGACACCGAGAGGUAAACCAGGAGCUUCCUCGGAGUAGUCCUCAAAUCAGACCAAAUAAUGAAGGGAGGAGAGGCGACCUGCUGAGUCUCCUGAUGGAAACCGGCUUUCAUUUUGAACAGAGGAGAAAACAAUAACAAAAACAGCUGUCCUUCUCUGUGAGGAUCAAACUGUGGUCAGACAAUGAUCCCCGAGUCCCUGGAGACUUGUGAAAGGGUCACCGGUGGUGCUCUGUCUGUGUGGAGGUUACUGUGCCACUGUGUGAUUGGCAACACAACAAGUCAAGGCAUGUUCCAACACGCCACCAACAGCCGGACCUGGUGUAUGAGCCUGCUCCUAAACCAGAGGGGGAGGAGCAGAGGAUCAGAGAGGGGGGAAACCCAGAAAAAAACCCAGCAUGACUCAGCCUGCUUUAUUUGGCAAAUUGCUCAAGGAGGAUGUGAGAGCAUGUGCUGCAUACUUUUUCAGCAGGGGAGAUGGUGGUGGUGGUGGUGAUGGUUCUUGGAGGAGUGUUACAUAUCCUCCACAACAACUCGUGUCAUCUGGAGAUGUGUGUUGACUCCUGGCCUACAUUCACUACUGCCAUUUGUUACCGUCAAAAACAGCAGUGCAGCAGCAGCAGAAGCAGCAGCGUGGCGAUUCCUGACAUACUGUAUGCACCGUCUUCACCAAGAACCCUGCAACUCUGAAAGGUCUGCUGCUUAAUGAGAGAGUCGUGAACCGGAGGAGCGGGCUCAUAUUCAGAGGUAUACCAAGCUCACACGUCAUCUCAUCAAAGAACCCGCCUUUCUCAGUGUCAGUUAUAACACUUUCAUCCACCACAGCCCCGAGAAGAUGGACUGGCAAAAAUCAGGAAUGUGUUGCCGCUGCCAAUUUACAUCCUGGACGAGUCCCACGCUGAGCUUGUGGACGCAUACUUGCCUUAUGGAGGCAGCCAGGAGAGCAUCAACCACGUGAGAGCCUGUGUGACGGAUGAGACUGCGUGACGGAUGAGACAGGCCGUCCUGUGGCCUGGAUCCUGUCUGACGAGCUGUGUGAGCUGAGGAUGGCCUACACCCUACCAGAGUACAGGCGGGCCGGUCACCUCCUGGUUCUGUCUCUGUCUCUGAUGCACAGGAUGAGCUCCAUGGGUCUGCCCAUCUACUGCCACAUCCACCAGCUGAACCGGGCCACUGUUAACGCCAUGACCUUGCUCGGCUUCACUGCCUGUCCCAGUAUGGAGAACAUCUCAGUGCUGCUAAUAUGCAAAGACAAAGUUUGAGUGAGCCAAAGAAAUGACAAUAAAGUCUGCUGGAUGAGUGAAACUACAGUGGAAAAAAAAAUAAUUUAUUGUAAAAGUGGAAAAUGUAACAAUUACGCUCCUUGAUCUAUGAUUUCUGUUUCCCUUCAGCACUGUGGAGAUACUGCACUUUAGACAGUUUAGUCCAUUCUGACAGCAAACUGCAAGUAGAACAAACUCAAAAAUAACAUUUUCUGUAGCCUUAGGGUGGAUGUGAUGAAUAUGGCAGGUAUGCUUCUCCUUUUUAUUCACUAUAUAUAUAUAUAAAGCUAUAUGAAAUAUACCAUAUGUAAGAACAAUACAUAUUUGUCUUCAGUUUGACCCUCUGUCGUGUGGCGAGCGGCUUUUCUUGAGAAAAAGAACCCCUUAAUCCGCAGAUCUCCCAGGGAGGCUCUCCUCUACCUGGGACCCUUCCCCGGAGGUGUGCCGUUCCACUGCUGAUUGCCUCUCUGUGUUUUAGCAGCAAUGCACCAUUCAAGUCUGCAGGCAACUUGACAAAUGAGCAGCGAUCUGAGCAGAGGGGAUACUCGUACUGCACCACACAUCCUGUCCCAUCCACAUCCCCCCUGUCCCGCAGUGGUGCACCUCUCUUCACUGACGCCCUUUCUUUACUCUAAACCAGCUUCUCAAAGUCAAACGGCACGCGUUAAAUACAUGUUUGCUGACGCGUGUUUAUGCACGCACAA